GACGAACGCUGGCGGCGUGCCUAAUACAUGCAAGUCGAACGCAUUUUCUUUCACCGUAGCUUGCUACACCGAAAGAAAAUGAGUGGCGAACGGGUGAGUAACACGUGGGUAACCUGCCCGUCAGCGGGGGAUAACACUUGGAAACAGGUGCUAAUACCGCAUAAUUCCAUUUACCGCAUGGUAAAUGGAUGAAAGGCGCUUUUGCGUCACUGAUGGAUGGACCCGCGGUGCAUUAGCUAGUUGGUGGGGUAACGGCCUACCAAGGCUGCGAUGCAUAGCCGACCUGAGAGGGUGAUCGGCCACACUGGGACUGAGACACGGCCCAGACUCCUACGGGAGGCAGCAGUAGGGAAUCUUCGGCAAUGGACGCAAGUCUGACCGAGCAACGCCGCGUGAGUGAAGAAGGUUUUCGGAUCGUAAAACUCUGUUGUUAGAGAAGAACAAGGAUGAGAGUGGAAAGUUCAUCCCUUGACGGUAUCUAACCAGAAAGCCACGGCUAACUACGUG
rnacentral:rRNA from 1 species